GAAACGAACACGAUUAAAAUAGACCAAAAGAAAAGAAAGAAAAGAAAACCUUUCUAUGUACAGAUUCUAAAUCGUACUCCCCAUACAGUCAGAGGCAGGGAGUCGAGGGCAGAGGCAGCAGGCGGAGAGAGGGAGAUAGGGCGAGGGAAGGAGAACGCGGAGAGAGACGAAGGGAGUGGGAGACCAGCGACAGCGAGCGCCAGGGCACCGCAGGCACACUGGAUGCCCAGUCCGCCGGCCCAGCCGCCCUCGGACCCUGGACCGUGCGUCGUGGGCACCAGAAACGAGACUCGGCCAAAUCCUGCCUCACCAGCAGGUAGAUGAAACUCAAGAGAAAAGGUGUGGAUAAAUGAAACUAGCCCAUGAUGAACCUGUUUUCUCCGUGACCACAAUAUUAACCAGGAUGAAUGGCGGUGGCAGUGGGCCUGCAUCACAGGUUGCAGCAGAUGUUCUCAAUAUUUCUAUUAAAAUUUCCUUAUUUCCAUAUGCAAGAGGAGCCCCAGAGCUGCAUCCUUAUGGUAGCUACCAUGCCGUGAUGUAAGCUGCCAUUCACUGGGGAGCUUUGGCAAUAGAAUUGGCUAGAUCAGGAAGCCUAUGUCAACUAUGGAACAACAACUUGCAGCUCAUCUCUAUUGAUGAGUAAAAGAAUAUGGAAUUUUAGCUCCAGAUCAAUUUCAAGAACAAAUCAGGAAUCCCGAGAGGACCCGCAGACCCUCUGAAGGAAGCAGACUGCUCCUGUAGAACCCGGGAGACACCCCAAAUACUGGGAGUGCCCCAACUGCAGAAUUGGGAAAGGGAGAGCCUCCUGUACUGAACACACAGCUCCACUGGAGAAACUGAAGAUACUCUCUCUUCCUCCUGAGGGGCUGCUCGUGUGCUGAACUGAUGCCUUCCAAGCAAUAGGAUGGAAAGUUUACCCUUUUAUGGGCCCUUAUCAAUAUUUUCAUCAUAUCAAAGGGAGAAGCUACGUUGGAGCUGUGAGGCAAAUAUCGUUUUGAAUUGGAAGUCACUUUGACUUUGCAUUUUUAAUUGUAUUAACAGCAGUGUACUGGAGUAGCUUAGAAAAUGUUUACAACUUGGCCCAGUCAACAGACUUAUUUACUGAAUAAUUUUCAAAAAUUAGGUUAAAAUGUACAGCAUUUUCUCUGCUAUCUCUGCCAGUUGGUCUUUGAGCCAAGCCAAGCCAAACCAAACCAACCAAACUACACAAAAAAGACCAGGUUUGCAUGUUGAAUCUGGAAUGUUUUGAAUCCAAGGAAAUAACUUACUUAUUCACGUUUAGUUGGAGUAACAUGUUUAUGGGUACUAGAUUUUAAUGCCAGUAGUUUGAAUGGGUGCUUUCAUGCAUAUUUACUUACUUGGUUGACAGAGCACUAGAUAUCAAAUGUGGAGUAGACUGCUUAGGGUUGCAUGAUUCAGAACGUGGGCAUGACAUCUUGUCUUUGGGUCUUGAUGAGCAAACACUUUAUCUCAAGACAGUGUCCUCUAGCUCAUAAAUAUAUUUUACUAAUGAUGCAUAAAUAUUAAAAAGAAAUAU
ensembl:lncRNA NR2F1-AS1 NR2F1 antisense RNA 1